AGAGUUUGAUCCUGGCUCAGGACGAACGCUGGCGGCGUGCUUAACACAUGCAAGUCGAGCGGUAUGGCCCUUCGGGGUACACGAGCGGCGAACGGGUGAGUAACACGUGAGCAAUCUGCCCUGCACUUUGGGAUAACCUCCGGAAACGGUGGCUAAUACCGAAUAUGACUACAUGCUGCAUGGUGUGUGGUGGAAAGUUCUGGCGGUGCAGGAUGAGCUCGCGGCCUAUCAGCUUGUUGGUGAGGUAAUGGCUCACCAAGGCUUCGACGGGUAGCCGGCCUGAGAGGAUGACCGGCCACACUGGGACUGAGACACGGCCCAGACUCCUACGGGAGGCAGCAGUGGGGAAUAUUGGACAAUGGGCGAAAGCCUGAUCCAGCAACGCCGCGUGAGGGAUGACGGCCUUCGGGUUGUAAACCUCUUUCAGCGCAGACGAAGCGAAAGUGACGGUAUGCGCAGAAGAAGCACCGGCCAACUACGUG
rnacentral:rRNA from 1 species